rnacentral:rRNA from 1 species
AGAGUUUGAUCCUGGCUCAGAUUGAACGCUGGCGGCAUGCUUUACACAUGCAAGUCGAACGGCAGCACGGGGGUAACCCUGGUGGCGAGUGGCGAACGGGUGAGUAAUAUAUCGGAACAUGUCCGGAAGUGGGGGAUAACGUAGCGAAAGUUACGCUAAUACCGCAUAUGCCCUGAGGGGGAAAGGAGGGGAUCCGCAAGGACCUUUCGCUUUCGGAGUGGCCGAUAUCAGAUUAGCUAGUUGGUGGGGUAAAGGCCCACCAAGGCGACGAUCUGUAGCGGGUCUGAGAGGAUGAUCCGCCACACUGGGACUGAGACACGGCCCAGACUCCUACGGGAGGCAGCAGUGGGGAAUUUUGGACAAUGGGGGAAACCCUGAUCCAGCCAUGCCGCGUGAGUGAAGAAGGCCUUCGGGUUGUAAAGCUCUUUCAGCCGGAAAGAAAUCGCUACUCCUAAUACGAGUGGUGGAUGACGGUACCGGAAGAAGAAGCACCGGCUAACUACGUGCCAGCAGCCGCGGUAAUACGUAGGGUGCGAGCGUUAAUCGGAAUUACUGGGCGUAAAGCGUGCGCAGGCGGUUUUGUAAGACAGGCGUGAAAUCCCCGGGCUUAACCUGGGAACUGCGUUUGUGACUGCAAGGCUAGAGUGUGGCAGAGGGGGGUAGAAUUCCGCGUGUAGCAGUGAAAUGCGUAGAUAUGCGGAGGAAUACCGAUGGCGAAGGCAGCCCCCUGGGUCAACACUGACGCUCAUGCACGAAAGCGUGGGGGAGCAAACAGGAUUAGAUACCCUGGUAGUCCACGC